AGGUGCCACCAUCCCCUACUUCGCGGAGGGCUCUGGGGGGCCCGUGCCUGGCAGCGCCCUGACCCUCCUGCCGGAGUACAGCUCGCGGGGCCACCCCUAUGAGGCCCCGCCGUCCUACGAGCAGAGCUGCGGCGGUGCUGGCCUGGCCUGACCCCGGGAGCUGACCCCGUGCUGCCUCACCAGGCCCGCCGACCUCCCCUGGGCCCGGGCGCCCGGGGCCCGUGCCUUCGCCCCAGCCCGGCCCGGCCCACGCAGGCCCCGCUGCUGCGGGGAGCCCCUGGCCAGCUGGGGGCAGCCCUGGCUUCCCCAGCCCGCACCCGCCGGGGCGGACUCUUCUGUGAAUAAAGUGCGUCAUUUGCAGA